GGCGCGAUGGCGGAGUGGUUAACGCGAGAGACUAGAACUGGCUAAUCUCUUCCCUUCGGGGGCGUAGGUUCGAAUCCUGCUCGCGUCG
rfam:Blastomyces dermatitidis ER-3 genomic scaffold supercont1.3, whole genome shotgun sequence.